GGCUGCUUGCAGAUAUGGACCCUUUCCUCUGCUGCCUUAUUGCCACUUACAUUAAAUACAGUAUAUGAUAAGAGUUUAUUAAUACUGUAGUCAACAUCCAUGCAAGCAUAUACAAGGGCCCCCAUGCAGAACAAGGUUGAAAACAAAGGCUGUAAGAAGAAGGAGAUGAUUGGGGCAGAAGUUAAGAAGGAAAUCAUUGAGAAGCAUGAAUGAGGUAUGCAAGUGGCCGAAAUUGCAAGAUUUUGUAAGCAGUCUGUGUCGAUCAUUUGCACAAUAUUAAAGAAGAAAGAAGAAAUUAGGAGCCUAGAUGCAAUAAAAGGAGUCAUGAGAAUCUGAAACCAAUGGCCACUUGUUCUGAAAGAUGUAGAAAAGUUGCUUCUGGUGUGGAUAAGUGAGAAGCAUCUAGCAGGUGAUACUGUGACUGAGAACUUUGUCUGCAAGAAGGCAAAGGCCUUGUACACUGACCUCAUAAGUAAACCUCCGGGUACAUCAACAGAAAACGAAGAAGGUUUCAAGGUGAACAGGGGUCUCCGUCACACCAGCCAUGAAGGUUUUCAAAGAGAUCCUGAGGACGGGAAUUGCACACAGCCCCACAGCUGGAGGAAACCAUCAGAAUGCGGGGGACAGUACUUCUGCGGAGUAAGUUUCUUGAUUCCGGAACUGUGGAAUAGACCAAAAAACCAAAGCAUCUGGCAGGAUAUGUGGCAGCUGGAAAAUACACAUAUUUUAAAGCCUUAAGAUGCCUGUGGUUUAGCACAUAUAUAUCAUUAUUCUAACAUUUGCUAAAAUAAAAUGCAAUUACACAUUACUGAAUAUUAUUGAUUUUCUUUUACAUCAGGACAAUUUCGACUGUCUUAAUGCUCUCAAAUAAUAUCUUAGAACUCACUUGUGUGCUAAGCAGAAACCUAGAGAAUAAUUUACAUUUUUCUUUUUAAACAUCUAAAUGAAUUAAAACUU